GACGAACGCUGGCGGCGUGCUUAACACAUGCAAGUCGAACGGAAAGGCCUGCUUUCCCUUGUGGAUUGCGGGUACUCGAGUGGCGAACGGGUGAGUAACACGUGAGUGAUCUGCCCCCAACUUGGGUAUAAGCCUGGGACACUGGGUCUAAUUCCCGAUAGGACUGCAUGGUGGUGCCUGUGGUGGAAAACGAUUUUCUAGUGGUUGGGGAUGAGCUCGCGGCCUAUCAGCUUGUUGGUGGGGUAAUGGCCUACCAAGGCGGCGACGGGUAGCCGGCCUGAGAGUGUGGGCGGCCACAUGGGGACUGAGAUACGGCCCAGACUCCUACGGGGGGCAGCAGUGGGGAAUAUUGCACAAUGGGCGGAAGCCUGAUGCAGCGACGCCGCGUGGGGGAUGACGGCCUGCGGGUUGUAAACUCCUUUCGACCGCGAGGAAGCCACCUGGUUGGGAGGGUGGUGACGGUAGUGGUAUAAGAAGCACCGGCUAACUACGUG
rnacentral:rRNA from 1 species